rnacentral:rRNA from 1 species
UACGGAGGGUGCAAGCGUUAUCCGGAUUCACUGGGUUUAAAGGGUGCGUAGGUGGGUCUGUAAGUCAGUGGUGAAAUCCCCGAGCUUAACUUGGGAACUGCCGUUGAUACUAUAGAUCUUGAAUAUCGUGGAGGUAAGCGGAAUAUGUCAUGUAGCGGUGAAAUGCUUAGAUAUGACAUAGAACACCAAUUGCGAAGGCAGCUUACUACACGAUCACUGACACUGAGGCACGAAAGCGUGGGGAGCAAACAGG